AUUGAACGCUGGCGGCAUGCCUAACACAUGCAAGUCGAACGAGUGGCGGACGGGUGAGUAAUGUCUGGGAAACUGCCCGAUGGAGGGGGAUAACUACUGGAAACGGUCGUUAAUACCGCAUACCCUAGGAUGUGCCCAUAUGGGAUUAGCGAGUGGGUGGGGUAACGGCUCACCAAGGCGACAAUCCCUAGCUGGUCUGAGAGGAUGACGAGCCACAAGGGAACGGAGAAACGGUCCAGACUCCUACGGGAGGCAGCAGGGGGGAAUAUUGCACAAUGGGCGCAAGCCGGAUACAGCCAUGCGGCGUGUAUGAAGAAGGCCUUCGGGUUGUAAAGUACUUUCAGCGGGGAGGCGGUACCCGCAGAAGAAGCACCGGCUAACUCCGUGCCAGCAGCCGCGGUAAUAC
rnacentral:rRNA from 1 species